rnacentral:rRNA from 1 species
UAGGGAAUAUUGGGCAAUGGAGGCAACUCUGACCCAGCAACGCCGCGUGAGUGAUGAAGGUCUUCGGAUUGUAAAGCUCUUUAGUCGGGGACGAAUUAUGACGGUACCCGAAGAAUAAGCCACGGCAAACUACGUGCCAGCAGCCGCGGUAAUACGUAGGUGGCAAGCGUUGUCCGGAAUGACUGGGUGUAAAGGGUGCGUAGGCGGUUUGCCAAGUUAGAAGUGAAACCCCGCAGCUUAACUGCGGAACUGCUUCUAAAACUGGUUAACUUGAGUGCGGGAGAGGAUAGUGGAAUUCCUAGUGUAGCGGUGGAAUGCGUAGAUAUUAGGAGGAACACCAGUGGCGAAGGCGACUAUCUGGACCGUAACUGACGCUGAGGCACGAAAGUGUGGGGAGCAAACA